AUAGACAAAGGUAUGGAAAGAUUUUGGCCUCUUCCAUUCUGAGAUGUACCAGAAAUGGGCCAGCCAGGGAAUAUACUGAAUGUUGUUGAAAGGAAUGCCUUAAAAAGCUGCUUGAGGUGAGAGAAAGAGAGAGGUAUGACAAAGUCAUGGCUGGUAAGUACGCAAUUGUGUUCCAACAAGGUGAAACUGGGGUGACUACUAGACUCCUGUUUUGCAGAGUGGGGUUUACAUAUUUGGAUCCAGAGCCAGAAUGUCCAGGAGAAGUUGAAGCCUAUCACCCAGCAUUCAUUCAUAAAUUUAAUACAGGUAUAUUGAGAGAUCCCUCUAUACUGUGCUCUGCUUGUGGUGCUAGGGAUAAACCAGUGAGCAAAAGGACAAAUAAAAAGACCUCAGCCUUUCUGCUAAUAAAUAGUAAGAAGUACUUAAAGGCAUCUUACGCCAGCAUAUAGCCAACUAAGCUAACACAGAACCCCUUCAUCUUAUAGACUAAAAAUGACCGACAUAAUAUAACAAAUAAUAUUUUUAACAUAGUUGAGGUUAAAAGAAAGGAUACCCCAGAUAUCAGAAAUAAUAAUAAAAAAAAAAGAAACAUAAAAAUUGAAGUAGUAAGAGUGGCCCAGGGAAGGGACUAAACUAAAAACUAGAGACCUUAGUCUACUAAAUGCUAGGAUAUUAGCUGUAAUGGGUGUCAGGAGAUAUGACCUUGGGUUCAUAUGAGAGAGGAAGCUAUAACUGAAAUCCUUAAUUAAAGCUGGUAUCCAGAAAGUUAAAUGCCCAAAGUGAAAGGGACUAAAAGUAUCUAUCAGCUCCAGGGAAGUAACAAAGACACAAGGGAGGGUGGGUGCCUCUUCCCAGAGAAUUUGGGUGAAAAAUAAGAAACACACGUCUGUGCCAUGUCCACUUUAGGAGUUCACAUUUACAUCAUAAGGUGUUAGAAACGAACAUAAAAACUGGUCCCAGAUUGGUACAUGACAGAAGCAAAUCUAAACCAUUCUCUAGGGCACAGAAACUUUAUAGAAGAAAAAAAAAUUCCAACUGAAGACAUGCUCACAAAGCAUAUGUAUAAAUAAUCUGCCUUGAGAGAGAGUGAGCAGACACAAAAAUCAUGAAGGAUAAGCAUCCCUAAAUAAUUGAGAUAGUAAAAUAAUCUGGAGUAGGCUAUUUUAAAAGAACAUCUAAAAAGAUUAAAAAGAAAAAUGAACUGAAACUACAAGAAAAUAACUGGAUAUUCUGGGAAAAAUUAAGAAUAUCUGUUGAUGUGCUAAAUUACUAACCCACUGUGAAUGCCAUGGUAUUCACCAAAAUUUUAAGCUACUUUGAGUGGCCUGAUUCUUAACUCUGCUUCCAUCUUAUGAUUCUGUAAUUCUUUAUCACAUUCAGAGAACAAGCAUUCACCAAUACAAGGAGCAAAAUUAGGAGAAUUAUUUUAUUAGUGUUUCAAGAACUUCUCAACUGAAUCUAUCCAUCUUUCCUUUGAAUAAUGGGGGAUACUAAGGAACAAAAACAUCAACUGAGUUUACCUAUUGUAUUAGUUGGGAUAAAGGUUAAGUUUGUAUAACAAAGAGCUCCCUAAAUACAGGAGUUUAAAGAAGGUAGACAUUUAUUACUCUCCCGUAUAACUGGCGGGGCAGCUCUGUAGUCACCAGGUCAUUUAAGGACUCAAGUUCCUUCUAUGUUAUUUCUCCAUCAUAGAGAAAGAGAUUUUGUCACCCCAAAACAUGCCUCUCUGGUAUAUUGAUUAUUUUUAAGUUGGUUAUUUUUAAAAAACAGCAGAUAUGACAGAAGCUCUGAAAAUUGAGUAGAAGUUAAUCGUUCGUGAAAAACAUUUACAUUUAUAAGGGAAAUCUCCAUUUUUAAGGGUGUCUCCCUUUCCGUACCAGGAAGAGAAGGAUGACUCUAACUCAUAAGAAACUCUUAUUAAUGGAGAAGGCAACAAUUAUUAUUAUUAUCAUUAUUUUGUCUUUUUAUGGCUGCACUCAUGGCAUAUGGAGGUUUCCAGGUUAGGGAUUGAAUCGGAGCUAUAACCUCUGGCCUACACCACAACGGGAACUCCAAGAAGGCACUGAUUUAAAUCUUCUUAACAACCUUACCCUUGUUUACUGUGCUUUUCCUGGUGACCUCCCAUCACUGAUUCCCCACUCCCAAAAUCUUCUUUUAUCUUUAGCUGAAGAUAGUAUCUAAGGUGAUGACUUCAGCCGCUUCAGAGUUACCCAGUAUUCCUGGGCAUCUUCCAUGUAUGUAACUGAGCCGGACUCUAUGGGACCUUCCCAGGACAGACCCUUCCCCAUAUCCUCUGCUUUAGCCCCUCUGAAGUACCUAGGUAAUAGUAUCCGAUGCACAUUUCUCAAGUUGUUUCACAGGUGUGAAAACCCCCCAGUGGAACAUGUUCACUACUUGAUGACCGUGAGUACAUAGCACCCAGGCCUCCUGGAACCUAAGGACUGAUAAUGUAACCCCUGUGACACAGAUCAUUACCUCACCAUCAGCCAAUCAGAGAAUUGUGCAUGAGCUUAUCACACACCAUGUGAACCCCUUUCCCUCACCUGGCCUUUAAAACAGUUUUGCUGAAACCCUUUGAGGAGUUUGGGGGUUUAGAGCACUAGCCACCCAUUCUCCUUGUUUUGGUACUUUUACAAUAAAUGCUGUGCUUUCCUUCACCAC
rnacentral:lncRNA from 1 species